GCUGCAUUUCAGCAGUGGUGACCAUGAUACUGGGUCACUUCUGCUGGUGCAGAUGUUUGCAAAUAUGACUUGCAGGCUCUUGCUCAUCACUGGUGAAAAUGCACAGCUAAUGGUGGUGACUAUAUCAAAAACAGUGUUCUGUAGUUGAGAAUUUUCUCUAUUAAAUAGUGUUCUUUGUAGUCACUGAUGAUUCCUUGGAAAUAAUAGAGGGCAGUACUUUCCAAGUGGCCUACAUAUUUAUCCUGUUUGUUUGGAUUGUGGGUUGUGGAUGUGGUGUUAAUGUUAAUAAUAUUAAUAUGAAUUCAGCCUCAGCUUGGAGAUGCCGAAGAGUUCCCCAAAAUUUACUCCAUUGAGGAAUCUUCUGAGCUGAGAGCACAGUCAUGGUGUCAUCAUAGCAAAUGUUCCCUCCAGCUGCCUUCACCUGCUGAGAGGUCCUCCAGUGCCAGGAGUGGUGACUUUAUGGGUGCAGGCAGAAGCCUUGCUGACCAGUGAGAACAUUAUUAAACCUCAGCCUUAAAAAGUAAAUGAGAGGACUCAGACAACAUUCUCUUCCUUACUGUAUUCACCCAUUUUCCUUGUGAUACGUUUUCAGUCAGUGUUACUGACUGGAUUUCUGUUGUGGUGAUAGUAGGACUACAGUGAUUUAUACUGACAGUAAUUACUUCUGCAUUUAUGAAUGAAAGAGGAAGAAAGUAGCAUAUACUUCUAUUGUAAGCAUCACUAAAAUCUUGCUUAAUAUUUCAGAAGCUCGUGUUGGCUUACUAUUUACACUUCUACACUGUGAGCUUCCAGACUGUUGCUUUGCCAGUGUUACACCUAGCUUUUGCUGUGGGAUGGAGCUCUUGAAUUUCACACACCAGUUUUGCAACUGUGACCUCAUCAUGAGGCUAAAUACGGAAACCUAGCAUGAAUAGCAUAAGAACCAUAUAAAUACAUCUGAGUGGAGAAGUUAGCACACUGGUGGUGGUGGCAGGGCACCACAAAUUAUAGCAAAGGGUAGCUCCCUGACUGUGACUGAAAGUUUAUUCAGAAUGCCUCUUUCCCCACUGAAAAGAGAAUCAUUUCAUCCAUGUCUUGUUCAACAUGUACGAAGUACCAAUGUAAUGCACAGUUCAAAGCUGUUUGCUGUAUCUGUGCAGAAUAUAUAUGCAUCUGUGUUUGGUAAAGUUUUACUGUCCUUGUCAGUUUUUCACAGCCAUUUUGCAUCUGUUAUGCAAUACAGCUCCCAGUGUGACACAAGAACUGUGUCUGAAUGAGUUUGAGCCACCCACCAGGCACACUUCCUUCAUCUUCCAACUUCAGAUCUUCUGUCAGAAAGUAGGUCUUGGUGCACGAACUUGCAGGUCCUGAAGUUGUCUAAAAGGAGACACCUUUAUUCAGAAGUCAGACAUCCUCAAGCAAAAAGGCAGAGUAAAAAAAAUGUAUGUGAUCAUGGGAUUCUAUCUGUUUCAUACUUUUGUAUCUUCUGACUUUUUUUUUUGCUUAGAGAAAAUGCCUUUUACUUUUAAAAUUAUUAUUCACGUCAGUAAGCAUGAUCAAGACAGGAUAUUAGGAAAAUUCUCUGAAGGAGUAGUGGUGCAUUGGAACAUGCUGCUUGUUCCCAUGGGAAGUGGUGGAGUCACUGUCUCUGAAGGUGUUCAAGGAACACGUAGAUGUGGCACUGAGAGGCGUGGGUUAGUGGGCAACACUGGUAGUAGGUAGACAGACUGGAUGAUCUUAGCGGUCUUUUCCAACCUUACUGAUCCAUGAUUCUGUGCAUUUGAGAGUGAAUUAUUGAUGUGUGAAUUAAUAAGGAAAAUACAGGAAUGAAAUUAAAGAAAUACUGGAAUAUGAAAAAUCAUAGUAAUGAAACAUUUCUGCAUGAGCAAUAGAAUUUUGUCAGUAACAUGAUUUGAAGAUAUCUUUAUUUUCAAUAAAAAUUAUGAGCAACAUCCUUUUCCUUCCACAUAGCUCCAUGUCACACCAUAUCGUGGUGGCAUAUUGUUUUAGAUGAUUCAAGGUAUGUCAUAAAAGACUUCUUGGAUAACAUAUCUAGUUAUUUCUUACUGAAUAUUGUUUCUGACUGCUCUGGGGCUAAGGAUUAAAUUCUUCAGUUUGAGUGAAAUCUUGUGUACAAGCUGGUGUCCAGGAAAGAGCAGCCUUGUCUAAAAUGUGUUGUUCAAAUAAAAGAACAAGGGUGCUUUUAUUUCAUUAUUUCUAGUGACACAGCUUUACUGACUAAAACCAUGCACCAUGGACAAAGAGAUUGUGCCAGCAUAGUUAUGACCCUCAAGGAAACUGAAGCUGUUCAACUAACCAUGGUCCUUUCAUUCCUCAGUAGUACUGUUUUUCAUGAUCUUGCUUUUGUAACUUGGUGGAGAAUGUAACUUUGCUGUCAGGUGAAAAGGCUGUGGAUGAAGUACUGUGAGCUGGACUAUGUCUCUAGUUAGUAAGAAGUGUGUCAUGUUAAUGGUGUCACCUCUUGGACUGGGAUGAACUAGUGGCUUUUCGUUGCUCUACCAGGCUGAUUUGUGUGUGGGCAAGGAAUAAUGCCCUAUGUUGUCCAAAAGGAGAGAAAUGAGAUGUUGCACUGUGGCAAUUAUUGUGGGAAAGAUGUCAGCAGUUGCUCAGAGAGCUGUAACAAGUUUAGGACACUUUGCAGCUUGUCCACAGGGAGAAAAAAACAUGGAAGGUGGAAUGGAGGGAGGGGAUACUUAUAGAUGGGGGUGUUUAGUGUACCACCAGCUUGAGUUGAGGUAAGAAUGAAUGGCUACCUGAUGGCUUAUAAAACUGAAGAUCAUAUGGGAGUUGCAAGGGGAAGGAUUUCAUUAUAUUUAUCUAGAAAGGCCCAAUUUUGAGACAGAGAAAGCAGAAUCUUGAGUGAUGUGAGGAGCUUGAAGUCUUCCAGCGUAUUUAAGAAGUUACAGCUGUCAGACUAAGUCCCCAAGGACUGGAGAAAGGGAAAUAUCACUUCCAUUUUCAAGGAAGGGAGAAAGGAAGACCUGGAGAACAGGCCCAGAUCCUCCUGGAAAGAUGUUAAGGCACAAGCAAGAUGAGGAGGUGAUAUGAGACAGACAGCAUGCUUCAGCAAGGGCAGAUCAUGUCUGACCAAUCUGGUGGCCUUCUGUGAUGGAGUGAUAGCUUCAGUGGACAAAGAAAGGGCAAACUGAUGUCAUCUACCUGGACUUGUGCAAGGCCUCUGAUACAGUCCUGCACCACCCUGCCAGAGGGCGGUUGUCAACAGCUCUGUCCAGGUGGAAGCUGAUCACGAGUGGUGUACCCCAGGGAUCUGUCCUGGAACUAGCUUCCAGAACCUUUUAUUGUUUUUCUAGGAAUUUUUCAGAAUUGCAAAUACGUAACAAAAUAAUUUCGGGAACUAAUGUUACUUUCUUGAGUUACAGAACUUUGAAUGUUCCAGAUUCUUUAGGAUACAGACAUAAAAAGAACCAUUAGAGAUGGCAAUAUUGUUCCAUUGAUGGAAUGAAGAUGUGAAGGCACCAAGAUGGAAGUGAUAGCAGGUAUUGGAAUAACAACUGAAAUGAUGGCAUGUAUUGUUACUUAAAGUCAUCGGUGCACUUGGAUCCCAGUACAACCCUUGCAUGACUUUAUUCAGUAACCAGAGAACAAGAGAAUAAAGAGAAUAAAGUUGUAAGACAAGAUGACGGAAUAUAAAUGAACUGGUAAGGAGCCAGAAGAGAAUUAGAUAGGGAAAGUCAAAGGAUAACCUGAGACUCAGAUGGACUCAGAUGGAGUACAAGAUGGCAAGGCAAGAGAUCACAAUAGCUGUUGACUCCAGAAGGCUGAAUAAGGCUUCUUGUCUAAGGGCAGUUUGCUUUUGCUCAUCUUGGGUCAUGUAGAGACGAUUCAUCUUCUCCUGUGUGUCAUCCUGGCUAACCAGCUCAGACACAUUCUGAUAUUUUAGAGGGUGAAAACACAAGGAAGCAAAGUCAGCUAAUUACAAAGUUUAAUAAGUCUUGUAGUGAGCUUUGUUUCACUAGCUGCCUCCAUACCCAGCAGACAAUCUGGAGUGGGAGAGUAAAAGAAAAUCUUUCCACUAUUACCUCUUUGUUGUAAAAUGAAAUGGCUCGGAUCCCUAUACUGGAAAACAAAAAUAGUAUAAGCUAUACAUAGCAACUGCCGAUUUAGAUUUAAAAAUGAAACAAAAACAAGCAAACAAACAAAAAGACCAACAGUCUCUAUACAGUGUUUGGAUCCGUUGCAGAUGUUUCUAAUGAAAGCACUACAGCUAAUAGCAGGGUUAACAGAGCGGUGGGUGCUGGUGACACAGAGACAAACCGCAAUUGUUAUCUCAAUUGCUAUCAAGAUUACGUAACACCAAAAGGCAGAGUGGGAAAACAAAGGACUUACUGAAAGCAGGAAGUGAGAAUAUUUAGAAAAGCAGAACUGAAGCCACCAAAUGCUUGGAGAGAGCCACAAAGAAGCAAAUGGACGGUCAUAAAGGGAAAGCUGGAUGAAAAGGGAAAAGAUUACAGUCACUAUCAAAUCUAGACAUACUUGAAAUGUUAUAAGCCUAUUUGAAAACUGGUUGUCCCCACUCAAGGGGUAUCUGAAAAGAUAAAUCUGCACUCUGUAGCUAGUAUCCCUUGUCUUCCUUGUCAUACAGGUCAUCUUGGCCACACCACACACUCACUUGGUGAUAUGACUGGGACUCCUACUGUUGUGAGUUUUACCGUAUAAAAGAAUGAGUGUGAGUGAAGCACUUUUUGUUUCCCUUUCUCCUGCUACGUUAGCAGUGACAUCGCUCAGCUAGCUAAUGCUAAGCAAAAUAUAUUUGGUCUGAUGUUAAACAUACUUAACUGAACAAUACUUGCUUUCACAAAACUGGCUGAUGCUAAGCAAAACACACUGAGUCUGAUGAUAAGAAAAACACUCUUUAUCAACUCAAGAAGCCCAGUAUAUCACUGUUAUCUAAGUCAGUGUGGGGGACCUCUCCAAUAUAUCACUCUGAAACAACCAAUCUGGAAAAAAAACAAGAGGAGGGCAAUUUGUGGUCAUGACUGCUUAUUUCAUCUCUAAGGGUCUUGAGAUCUGAAGAAGUAAGGAAAGUAGUAACUCCUGUGGAAUAACAGCAAAAAGCCUUUUCUGAGUUACCAAAUAGCAGGCAGCAAAAAAUGCAUUUGUUUUAGUGGAUACUUUUUCUGAAUGACAUGAUGCUUUCCCUUGUCACCAAUAUGGCUAGGAAAGUAGUCAAAGUGGUAUAUUCCCAGAUUUGGAAUUCCCAAAGGGCUAUCUUCAGAUAACGGACCCCAUUUUAACUUGGAAAUGGUUCAAGGGCUUUCUAAAUUCCUACAGUUUACAUGGGACUUACAUAACUCUUGGAGGCCAUGAUCAAGUAGGAAGGGCAAAAGCUUUCAAAAUGGCGUCGGGAAACCCGCUUGAGGUGGGUGGAGGUUUUACCUCUUGCAUUACCCAGAGUCCAGAUGACACCACAGGUAGGGGAAGAAGUUCUUUUGCUAAGGAAAAUUGUACCCAAGAAAACUCUCCAAACAAAAUUAUAGUUUAGAAAGCCAACACUGUUUUACUGCAGUCUAGGUGCAUGAGGGAUUUAUCCUUCUAAUAUGCAUAUCAAGGGACAACAGCACACUUAUACGCAUUUGCGUGAGGUAGAUUGCGUUUUUGUAGUGGAAGCUUCCAGCAUUUUCUGUACCAAGGUGUAGGCCCCCACUGAACUUAGAACCUUCUUGCAAAAUAGUUAUCUUUUCCACAAAAAGUAGUUAUGUUUUCCACAAAAAGCUGUUGAGGCAGAGCCUAGGACAAGAUAGGGCAAGUAUGUCAAAUAUUUUGUUUUUAUCACAAGAGGGACGCUGAACAGAGUAAAGCAGAGAUUGUAGCAUUCUGAUCGGGUAGAAUAGUUGCUAACAUGAGAUAAGUCAGUUACACACAGUAGGGAGGGCCUAGCACAGGACAGAAUGAAUGCAAUAACUUUAAGAAACAUUGCCUUCCUAUUUCCAUGGGAAGGUAUAAAACAUUCUUUAAAAUAGUAGGUUGAUAACACACCUUAUAUGGAACUUAUUGCCCACCAUCUUUAGGAAAUCGCAUGCUUAUGCUAAUACACUGUGAAACUGCAUCUGUGCAAGAUACUAAAUUGGGCAAAGGCUCACUGGUUGUCUCUCAGUUUGCCCGUAUACGGUACUGAUGUUGAGAAACAUCCUGCUUUCUUGGUACAUAUAUUGCUCUCUAGCACCUCUUUGGCACACAGGCUUGCUUAUUUUGUCUGGACCUGUCCCCACCUGUCUGGAGUACAAAGAGGUCUACGCCCUAAACAUCAACCAAAGCGUUUAAGUCUUUGAUGUCACUUUUGAGAUUAUGUAUGGGAAGCCCUACUCCAUCAGUAGGAUGCAGCAUAGAAGUGAGCAGGCAUACAUAAAAAGAGAUGGGUUGUUAAGGGAACACUUGUUCCUUUUGUGAGUAUUACCUUCUCUGCACUGAUAUCUCACCCUGUGAAUCCCUCUGGAAUACUACUGGAAGCCCCAGCCCAUGCCUGGAGACAUGCUAUAUAUCUGUACCUGGAAGGAUGAGCCACAAAAAUAAAAAGGGAAAAAAACCCCUUUUUAGUCUCUUGGCUACAUACACAGCAUUGAAGGUGAAGGGAGCGAGCUCCUACAUCCACUACAGCAGAGUGACGAAGGCAUCUCCAGAGAAAUCAGGAUUGAAUCUCUAUCAAGGGAAUUAAGAAUGAAGAUCUCCAAGAAAAAAAUGAACCUCUGUACUGCAGCUGGAGUUCGCUUAUGAUGCCAUGCCCUUUUUAAUGAGAGACAAAAACAUGAAUAUCCAACCACUGCAAAAGAAUACACUAUGCGGGAGAAUAUAUCAAGUUUUGAAGCAUGAGUGCACAACUCCAGCAUUACAAAAAUUUGAUAUUAGUGGAAGUUCAACAUGGAGUAGAAGAUGGUACAUUGCAUGAGCAGCCCUGAACAUUCUUGAGGAUGAAGUUCUGUCAGUGUUGCCAAGUAGAUCCCAGCAUACUGAUCUGCGUGUGAUCUUUGAGAUUGUGAAGUGGUAAAAGGCCAGACACUAUUGUGAGGAAGGAAUACGGUUCUGGUUACUUCCAUGAGCCAAAAGGUGGUGGAAGUCAGAUCCUUAUUUGAAAUAAGCUUCCUGUCUUCUAUGUAACAAGACGGAUAAAUAGAUGAGAUGCUCUGGAAACCAUUUGUGAAUUAGAUAGGUAAAAGCUCAGAGGAACAGAAUUAGGAAGCUGAAUGAAAGAGUAGUAAGUACGCCUCUUAAAAAAGUUGCCAGUCUGAGAUGUGGUACAAUCAGUAACAGCAAAUCUCAGUGCCCAGCAGAAACGCAAAGGUCAAAAAAGCAGGAAAGAGAAAAGAAGACAGUGGAAUAAAUGAACAUCUACUGCAAGAUGUUACACAAUAACUGGAAACGCACUCCAUUUGUACAACUAAAGAAGUCACUGACAGCUGGAGGCCUUUACUUCAAGAGUGAAGUAACCGUAACUUUACCCUCCAAGGUCUGAGGAAAAAGCAAAUGCUGCAAUUGACUGUCAUCUUGAUCACAAAAACUGUACGUGGAAACAGAGCUGCUAUAGAAGCAUUACAGAAGACAGUGAAUAGUAAGUGGGAAGGACUGUAAUCACCACUUAUCCCUAAUCUUUAAGAAGUUCUAGUUCAUUGGCAUUUGAGAUUUAGGUCUUCACAUUAUUAUUAUUAUUAUAUGCCUUUAAUUUCACUAGAAACUUCUUCAGAGGAAGAUGUUUUAGCCUGAGUAUCUGAGAUGCAUGCAUCUGGAUGGUCAGAGACAGAAGAAAAAUACAGAAGCUUAAAAGGGCAGGAAUAAUAUAAACUAAGGUUCCUCUUUAAAUAUACAUCUAUGCAGAGGUGUGGGGUACAGCUUGUAUGUGAAGCUGUUGAUGGAAGAAUUUAAAAGACAAAGAGGAAAGUCCAUCUGUAACUAUGAAUAGGAUGGGUCCUCCAUCAUAUCAAAUUAAUGAAACGCCAAAUUGAAAGAAAGGGGACAUGCAUCACAGUUGAAAUGGAUGCACUACUUAGAACUGCUAUUUUAUACCCCAUAGAUAUCCAUGUAAGGAAAGGACUCAAAAGUUUGGUGAGGGGUCAAGGACAUGGGUGUUCAUCAUCUAGUCCCAGUUUAUGAAGUGAACCUCAUACCAUUGCUGAUAAUCAUCAGGUCACAGUGACCUUAGCUCCUAAUUAUUGCAACAUUCAACUGUUUCAGGGUGCAUGCGAAUCUCUUCACCUAGAAUGCAGACACCAUAAUUAAAUCACCCUCAUUUUGUACAUUUAGCAUAUUAAUAUUCAUACAGUUUCCACGAAGUUCAAUCUAUUCCCAAAAUUGCCAUACUUAUAAUUGUUAGGCCAAGCCAUCGAUCUGUAGGUUGGCCUGGUUCAGUGGGGCCCUGUUGUGACAUUGCUAAGUCAGGAGCUGAUGGCACUGGGGACACAAAUGAGGCCUGGUUUGUUGGCUGGUAAGGGAGCUCUUGGGGAGCUGUGCAGGAAUGGUCUAGUAUGGCAUGCCCUCAGGGCCAUAACAUAGGUCCAAAUAAUAAGAAAAAAUGGAUGCAGUUCAACAACACCUCCAUCACAAGAGAAACUUUGUUUCUUUUGGUGAAAAGAGAUAUGCUACCUAUUUUUGAUAAGGAUAAUAGAAAUAAUAAGUACAUCUGCCUCCUCCACUCUGAGAACUAUCAAGCAUUAAUAGGCACCAGUGCUCCUAGUUGAAGAGGAUCCACACCUCUCUUUUCUCUAUGUUAUGCCUUAUUACCCAUUUUAUCUUUCCCUGAAAGCACCUUCUCACACUCUGCCUACACCUACUUCCCUUCGUCUGACUAGAUUAACUAGAUGCACUCCGAACACAGGAACAUGUUCAGAGAAGGGCAAUGAAGCUGGCAAAGGGUCUGGAUCACAAGCCUUAUUAAGAGCAGCUGAGGGAGCUGAGAUUGUUUGGAAGAGGAGGCUCAGGGUUGCCCUUACCACUCUCAACAACUACCCAAAGGGAAGCUGUGAUGAGGUGGAGAUUGGGUUCAUCUCCCAUGUAACUAGCAAUAGGACUACAGGGAAUAGCCUCAAGUUGCGCCAGGAGAGAUUCAAGUUGGAUGUUAGGAAAUAUUGCUUCUCCAUGAGAGUGGUCAGGAACUGAAACAGGCUGUCCAGGGAGGUGGUAGUCACCAACCCUGGAGGCACUCAAAGAAUGUUUAAAUGUUGUACUGAAGGACAUGAUUAACAGGAAAUAUUGGUGAUGGAUGGACAGUUGGACUGGAUGGUCUUUUCCAAUCAUCAUGAUUCUAUGAUUCAUCCCAAAUAAACAAUACUUCCCCUAAUUGCUUCUUACUUGUUAACCUUAAUUUCACUUCUCCUGUUUCUAAAUUUGGUGUUUCCAACAUUGUUAUUUAGAAAAUUUUGGCCCAGUGCAGUGUUACUGAUGUGACUGCUUGAUUGUAUCAUCCUUCCAAGUAGAGUACUCUUCUAUUAGAGAAAACCUCUCCACACGAUUAUCACUUCUCAUUUACAUGUAUGCUUUAUAAACAAUGAUUUGACUUGAUUCUUUACUCCUGUACUUUUACAACAUGUUCUUCUGUCAACAAUGGAAACAUCAGUGCUUGUUACACCUAGUUCCUGUUUGCAUCAUUUGCUAGUCUCGGCUCAUUGUAGUUGGUUCCUGUUUGCUUAGUACUCAACUUUCAACUGAGGAUUCAGCAGUAAGUAGCAAAGAAACCACAAAGCCUUGUGAAACCAAGAAAACCAGCAUGUGAGGAGAAGCCACAGUCAACAAACCCAAACCAUACUGAAGGCUGCACCAGACUCCUGAUCUCAGUUGCGACAGGUAGUUGUGAAGUGUGCACGUGUAACUAGAUGUAUGACAUGGAACUUGCCUUAAUAAAGAAACAAGUUUGAAUUGCUCGUUUACUCCGUAUCUGUCAAUCCUACAAAAACUGACUGGCAUGUUGUGGUGGCCUGGAGAAAAAUGUUUGCCCCGUAGCAACUGAUUUUCAGAUAUGAUCUUCAGUGCUGCCUCUGUGUUGGUAGCUCCACUUCAGUCUCUGAAGAGAGGUUUUCUGCUUUUUAG